rnacentral:rRNA from 1 species
UKCGACUGCGGAAGGAUCAUUAGAGAUGCCGAAAGGCUUUCCAAACACCUGUGCAACCCGGCCUCGGGAGAAGGACGCCCUCUGGGUUCCGACGACCGGGGCCUCCCACACAAACAGCUGUCAUGAACGUAAACUAUUGUAAUCAGAAACAACUUUCAACAACGGAUCUCUUGGCUCUCGCAUCGAUGAAGAACGCAGCGAAAUGCGAUAAGUAAUGUGAAUUGCAGAAUUCAGUGAAUCAUCGAAUCUUUGAACGCACCUUGCGCCUUUUGGUAUUCCGAAAGGCAUGCCUGUUUGAGUGUCAUGUAGACUCAACCCCCUGGGUUUUUUGACCCGGGGUGCGUUGGAUUUGGGCCUUGCCUUUUGCCGGGCUGGCCUCAAAGCCGUUAGUGGGACCUCCCGCGCAGACGUUGUAAGCAUUCGUCGGACUGCGGGCCCGCUCAUAACCCCCAAUGAAAAUCUUUCAUUUUGCACUCUGGCCUCAAAUCAGGUAGGGCUACCCGCUGAACUUAAGCAUAUCA